rnacentral:rRNA from 1 species
CGCGUAGGCGGACCAGAAAGUUGGGGGUGAAAUCCCGGGGCUCAACCCCGGAACUGCCUCCAAAACUCCUGGUCUUGAGUUCGAGAGAGGUGAGUGGAAUUCCGAGUGUAGAGGUGAAAUUCGUAGAUAUUCGGAGGAACACCAGUGGCGAAGGCGGCUCACUGGCUCGAUACUGACGCUGAGGUGCGAAAGUGUGGGGAGCAAACA